UCCUAAAGAAAAGAGGCAGUGGAGAAAUA
rnacentral:piRNA from 1 species